AGGAGCCAGCCGCCGAAGGUGGGACAGAUGAUUGGGGUGAAGUCGUAACAAGGUAGCCGUAUCGGAAGGUGCGGCUGGAUCACCUCCUUUCUA
rnacentral:rRNA from 1 species